rnacentral:rRNA from 1 species
AACGAACGCUGGCGGCAUGCCUAACACAUGCAAGUCGAACGAAGUCUUCGGACUUAGUGGCGCACGGGUGCGUAACGCGUGGGAAUCUGCCCUUGGGUACGGAAUAACUCAGAGAAAUUUGUGCUAAUACCGUAUAAUGUCGUAAGACCAAAGAUUUAUCGCCCAAGGAUGAGCCCGCGUAAGAUUAGCUAGUUGGUAGGGUAAAAGCCUACCAAGGCGACGAUCUUUAGCUGGUCUGAGAGGAUGAUCAGCCACACUGGGACUGAGACACGGCCCAGACUCCUACGGGAGGCAGCAGUGGGGAAUAUUGGACAAUGGGCGAAAGCCUGAUCCAGCAAUGCCGCGUGAGUGAUGAAGGCCCUAGGGUUGUAAAGCUCUUUUACCAGGGAUGAUAAUGACAGUACCUGGAGAAUAAGCUCCGGCUAACUCCGUG